AUUUAAUGGAUCCUAACCACCACACCACAUAUGAAGGAGUUGAUUGUAGUAGCCUAAUUGCUUCUCAAUUCUCUAACCCUACAAAAUCCCUCCAUCUCUCUUUUGCUAGUUCUUCAAUUGGAACUCGUUUCGGGAUUUCACUAUUUUUCAAGAAAAACCUAUUUCCACAAAGGAUUUGGGGGUGCAGGAUUACGAAAAUAAUACUCCAAGAGAUAAACAUCCAAUUUCGUGAAGUCAACAGAGCAUCUUUAAUAAUAACUUAGUAUCUUAGUUUAAAGCAAUAUAGUAUUCCAACACAUCUUUGUUUAUUAUGUAUUUUUUUAGAUAUUAUUUGUAAAUUAUAUAUUCUCAUAUUUAUGUAUUUGAACUUUAUCAAUUGUAGUUUAUA